CUGUCUUGCAGUUUCAUCAGAUCAUUUACUCCAGCAGAUCUUUAAAAAAAACAUCUCUUGUAAAUGCCGUCACUUGUUCCUAUUCUUCCGAACUGUAAUCCAGAAUUAAUUUACACGUAGUUUUGCUCUCUUUCUGUGGUCCAUCAUGAUAUUUUCAUAAUCUCAUAAUUUUGACCAAUUCUGUCAGAAAGCUGCUAGAAUUAACAGGGAACUGGAACUUGAAGCUCCCAGUGCUGAUCUUGAAGAAGCUGUCAAGGAGGCUGAACAAGUCCUUCAAUGAUUCAACCUUUCACAGUAAUGUUGAAGACAUUUAGCUGUAACUGAUUUGCUUUAAUGCACACAUCCUUAUUUUAUCUGUUAAUAAUACAUUUUCUGUACAGUUGUUCCUCUUAAAUAUUUUGGUCACAAAUUUCUUUUUAGCACAUUGUCUUAACAUGUAUGUAUUUCUCUUUGUUUCAGCUGAAAGGGAAAACCAAAGGAGGCCAGUCAUGGGAUCUGAAUUGGGCCGUAUUGUGCAUUUACAGAAAAGACCAAAAGCAAAGAUUUCCAAAGCUGCAGUGUGGACUCAUCCUUGGUGUGAAAAGGCCAACAAAAUCAUCAGCAGGUAGAAACUGAGAGUUCACAUGAUGGCCUUUUCUCAGACUCUGAAUCUGAUGAACAGAUGAACUCAGGAGCUGCUGGAGUUACCGGGGAACUUGAUCUUGAACUGGAGACCAAAACACAAAGAAAAUCAGUCACAGCAAGCCAGUCAAACCAGUCCUGAUGAAUGAGGAAUGAAGUCUUCUGAGGAAUGAAGUGAAUGAAUACAGUCUUCUUGUGCCCAAAUAGAAAAGACAGAUUUCCACUGCUCCUAGAAUUAGCAAAUCAACUGUGCCAUCGUCUCUGUAUUUCGGGCAGGAAAUGACCGAAUAUGGAGGAUGAAGCCAGUUGAUGAAGAGAUCAGUUCAAUGGCCAUCAGGUAUCUGCUGUGAAGACUGCAUUCAUGAACACCUCUACUGUGACAGCUCAGAUGUUACGGCGCAUAAAAGUAAACUUCACAACUGAACAACAAGAGUUGUGGAGGGAUUCUUUUGGCCCAUACCUCCAACAAGAAUCAAUGGACAUCUACAUCAGGUGGUGUGUGAGGAAAGCACAGAGGACCAUCAGAGACUCCAGCCAACUGCAUGGAUCGCUCUCAUUGUUACCAUCAGGCAGAAGUUAUUGCAGAAUCUACACCAGCAGACUGAGAGACAAGUUCUUUCCACAGGCAAUCAGACUGAACUGAACUCAUACCAGUAACACCACACACAGCACAUCAACCUCAUAUGCACUGCACUCUAUCAUUUACACUGACUGGACUCUGACUCAGUUUUAUUCUGCACCCUGACAUUCAGAUUGCACUAAUUCAUACUGUACUGCACUGUCAUUACUGUUUAUCAUUGUUUUCAUUUUGUGCUCACUGUAUAGUGUAAUAUUUACCAUAUAUUGUUCUCUGCAUGUACUGAGUCCCUUAUAUAUACAGUGUGUAUGUAUAUGUAUAUGUCAAGUCAAGUCAAGUCAAGUCACCUUUAUUUAUAUACCGCCUUUAACGAUACAGAAUUGUGACAAGGCGGCUGUACAGUAUUAAAUAGGAAACAGUACAUCAACAAUGCCAAAGGCAACAUUAAACACUCACAUUAUAGGUAAAGGUAGUUAAUCAAAAUC